UACGAAGGGGGCUAGCGUUGCUCGGAAUCACUGGGCGUAAAGGGUGCGUAGGCGGGUCUUUAAGUCAGGGGUGAAAUCCUGGAGCUCAACUCCAGAACUGCCUUUGAUACUGAAGAUCUUGAGUCCGGGAGAGGUGAGUGGAACUGCGAGUGUAGAGGUGAAAUUCGUAGAUAUUCGCAAGAACACCAGUGGCGAAGGCGGCUCACUGGCCCGGUACUGACGCCGAGGAGCGAAAGCAUGGGGAGCGAACAGG
rnacentral:rRNA from 1 species